UAGUUAUGUUCUUGAAACUCAAAGAAUUUGGCGGUGUUUUAGUCUAUUCAGAGGAACCUGUCCCAUAAUCGAUAAUUCACGAAUAAUUAUACUUAAUUUUGUAAUAUCAGUUUGUAUACCGCCGUCAUUAGAUUAUCUUUGUAGAGGUAGUAAUUUUCUUGAGGUUUGAGUGAGUUAUAUGUCAGGUCAAGGUGCAGUUUAUGAUUAAGGGGAGAUGGGUUACAAUAAAAGUAUUUAUAUGGAUAGUAAAUUAAAUAAUAAAUUGAAGGUGGAUUUGAUAGUAAUGUUAUUUAAUUUGAUAAUUUGAUUAAAGCUCUAAAGCAUGUACACAUCGCCCGUCGCUCUCGUUAUAAGGCGAGAUAAGUCGUAACAUAGUAGAUGUACUGGAAAGUGUAUCUAGAAAGU
rnacentral:rRNA from 1 species